rnacentral:rRNA from 1 species
UCAAGCUACUAAGUGCAAUUGGUGGAUGCCUUGGUGCCAAGAGGCGAUGAAGGACGUAGCAAGCUGCGAUAAGCCACGGUUAGCCGCAAGCAGGCUUUGACCCGUGGAUUUCCCAAUGGGACAACCCGGCUACCCCUCAAAGGUAGUCAUCUACAGAUGAAUGAAUAGUCUGUAGAAGCAACACGGGGUGAAGUGAAACAUCUCAGUACCCCCAGGAAAAGAAAAUGAAAUGAUUCCGUAAGUAGUGGCGAGCGAAAGCGGAGAAGCCCAAACCAGAGAAACUUGUUUCUCUGGGGUUGUGGGACCUCGAUAUGGGACCGCGAAGGUGAGUGUAAUGAACUGGAAAGUUCAACCAGAGACCGUGACAGUCGGGUGCGCGAAGCCAGAGUGGCCCUAGGGGUAUCCCAAGUAAUGCGGAACACGUGAAACUCUGCAUGAAUCUGUCCAGACCACUGGAUAAGGCUAAAUACUACUUGGCAACCGAUAGUGAACUAGUACCGUGAGGGAAAGGUGAAAAGAACCCCUGUUAGGGGAGUGAAAUAGUACCUGAAACCAAUUGCAUACAAAGUGUUGGAGUUCGGCUUCGGCCGGAUGACAGCGUGCCUUUUGCAUAAUGAGUCUGCGAGUUAUUGUCUGUGGCGAGCCUAAAUUUCUCUGAAAUGGAGGCGAAGCGAAAGCGAGUGUGAAAUGCGCGUUUAGUGGCAGGCGAUAGACCCGAAGCGGAGGUGAUCUACUCAUGAGCAGGUUGAAGCUGCGGUAACACGCAGUGAAGGACCGAACCGGUGUAUGUUGAAAAAUGCUCGGAUGACUUGUGAGUAGGAGCGAAAGACUAAUCAAACCCCGUGAUAGCUGGUUCUCUCCGAAAUAGCUUGAGGGCUAGCGUCGGAUAAGUACUCCAAGGAGGUAGAGCGCUGGAUGGACUAGGGCCCAUACCCGGGUACCAAAACCAAUCAAACUCCGAAUGCCUUGGAUCCCAUUAUUCCGGCAGUCAGUCGGCGAGGGAUAAGCUUCGUCGGCGCGAGGGAAACAUCCCAGACCGCCAGCUAAGGUGCCUAAAUAUGAUUAAGUGGAAAGGAUGUGACGUUGCUUAGACAGUGAGGAUGUUGGCUUAGAGGCAGCCACCAUUUAAACAAUGCGUAAUAGCUGACUCAUCGAGCGAUGUUGCGCCGAAAAUGAUUGGCGAUUAAAUCAUAUACCGAAGCUGCGGAUUUGCAGGGGAUUCGUCCCCUGUAAGUGGUAGGAGAGCGUAAUCAGUGCUGUGAAGCUAGACGGUAACGGAAAGUGGAGCGCUGAUUAGUGAGAAUGCAGACAUGAGUAGCGAUUAGCCAGAUGAGAAUUCUGGCCGCCGUAUACCCAAGGUUUCCUGGGCCAGGUUCGUCCUCCCAGGGUUAGUCGGGACCUAAGGCGAGGCCGUAAGGCGUAGUCGAUGGACAGCAGUUCAAUAUUCCUGCACCGGCUUGAGGUUAGUUGACAGUGACGCGGUGAGAAAAGUGGCUAAGUCAUCGAAAGACAGAGCUUAGACUUCGGUCGAAGCGUACCACUGGACGAUCCGCCGAGAAAAGCUAGUUAACAUGUGCCUCUUGUCGCCCGUACCGUAAACCGACACAGGUGGGUGAGUCGAGUAGACUAAGGCGCGCGAGAGAAACCACUCUAAGGAACUCGGCAAAAUAGCCCCGUAACUUCGGGAGAAGGGGUGCCUACUUCGGUAGGCCACAGUAAAUUGGGUCUGGCGACUGUUUAACAAAAACACAGCACUCUGCUAAGUCGUGAAGACGACGUAUAGGGUGUGACACGUGACCAAUGCCGAAAGAUUAAGGUGACUUGUUAGCCGUAAGGCGAAGCUCGGAGCUGAAGUCCCGGUGAAUGUCGGCCGUAACUAUAACGGUCCUAAGGUAGCGAAAUUCCUUGUCGGGUAAGUUCCGACCUGCACGAAUCGUGUAACGACCGGACCGCUGUCUCGGAGUGGUUCUCGGCGAAAUUGUAGUGGCGGUGAAGAUGCCGCCUGCCCGCAGUAGGACGGAAAGACCCUAUGCACCUUUACUAUAAGCUGGUAUUGGGUUCUGGUCUUUGAUGCGUAGCAUAGGUGGGAGACGUUGAAUUGGCGGUUUCGGUCGUCAAGGAGUCAUCAGUGAAAUACCACUCUUUAAUGAUUAGGAUUCUAACCCCAACCCUGUUAGCCAGGUGGGGGACAGUGCCUGCGGGUUAGUUUGACUGGGGCGGUUUCCUCCUAAAAAGUAACGGAGGAGCGCGAAGGUACUCUCAGCACGGUUGGCAACCGUGCGUCGAGCGUAUGGGUAUAAGAGUGCUUAACUGUGAGACCUACAAGUCGAGCAGAUGCGAAAGCAGGCCCAAGUGAUCCGAUGGUUGAAUGUGGAAUUGCCAUCGCUCAACGGACAAAAGGUACGCUAGGGAUAACAGGCUGAUCGCGCCCAAGAGUUCAUAUCGACGGCGCGGUUUGGCACCUCGAUGUCGGCUCAUCGCAUCCUGGGGCUGGAGAAGGUCCCAAGGGUCCGGCUGUUCGCCGGUUAAAGCGGUACGCGAGCUGGGUUCAGAACGUCGUGAGACAGUUCGGUCCUUAUCCACUGUGGGCGUAGGAAACUUGAGGGGUUCAUUCUCUAGUACGAGAGGACCGAGAAUGACGCACUUCUGGUGUGGCAGUUGUUCCGUCAGGGGCAGCGCUGCGUAGCCAAGUGCGGAAGAGAUAAGCGCUGAAAGCAUCUAAGUGCCAAGCUCCUCCCAAGAUAAGGUUUCCCGGACGCAAGUCCCUUAAGACCCCCGGAAGACUACCGGGUUGAUAGGUCA